GGCUGGAUAGUCUAGUGGUUAAGAUGUUCCUCCAGAGUUGGGAAGGCCUGGGUUCAAAUCCUGGUCCUACCA